UACGAAGGGGGGCUAGCGUUGUUCGGAAUUACUGGGCGUAAAGCGCACGUAGGCGGGUUGUUAAGUCAGGGGUGAAAUCCUGGAGCUCAACUCCAGAACUGCCUUUGAUACUGAGGAUCUUGAGUUCGGGAGAGGUGAGUGGAACUGCGAGUGUAGAGGUGAAAUUCGUAGAUAUUCGCAAGAACACCAGUGGCGAAGGCGGCUCACUGGCCCGUUACUGACGCUGAGGCACGAAAGCGUGGGGAGCAACAGG
rnacentral:rRNA from 1 species